AUCGGCGUUGGAGAUGCCCUAAGGCGCCGAUUUGUACAACUAUUGAACCAAAUUGCACAUCCAGGACAGGGAAUCCACUUCCACACGUAUGUCAGCAUGUCAACUGGCAUGCCUCUGAGACUUGGAACGAAUAGAUCACAAGAGCGAAAGAGACAUUUCUAAUGAAUGAUGUGGACUGAACAACAGUCGACAGAAGCAAGAUCUCGGGCUCUUAACUUGGCGAAGAUCCAUGCAGACUUUUCCGUGCCAUAUGCGAUAAGAGGCGACGAAGUCCGGGGUGGUUGCACCCUAAGUCACUCUCAUGAUCCACAGGUUACAGUCAACGAAGAUUUUAAUUCUCCCUAUCUUCUGGCCGCCCCAGUCAGCAGAGUUCAUCAUGAUCUUUCUCCCCCAAGAAAGAAAGGCAUACCUUUUGGAGCGUUAUAUAUAGGUGCUGAAAGCAUUGCGGCAUGGCAACUCACGGAGGAGCGCGUCGCCAAUCCGGGAAGAUGCUGCCCGACUGUCGCCGCCUGCUUGCUCGGCUUCUCGCCCUCCUCGCGCUGCUGCUGCUGAUCGUCGGUGUACAUGGCCGUAUAGGAUUGAACUGCGGCAGUCAUGGCCUGAUGUGGAGUACUACUUUGAACAUCGUCGCAGAGAACCCAAACGGCUGCACAGGUCUGCCCUCUCCAGACUGUCCAGACUGUGGAUAGCAGCAGGUCUCCCUCCGAAGCAUAUGCCGACGCCGAUGACAUCUCAGGAUGUUCUGUAUCGUUCUACAAGAGUUGAUUUUGUUUCUGUAUGGUAGUAAGAGAGAUAUGAAGGUCACAAUCAUUUGCUUGCUUACGGAAUGUUAGGGAAACAAGGAUAGCUGAAUAUAAGACACAAUUCAUCAA